rnacentral:rRNA from 1 species
CCUACGGGUGGCAGCAGUGGGGAAUAUUGCACAAUGGAGGAAACCCUGAUGCAGCGACGCAGCGUGAGUGAAGACGUCUUUCGGUAUUUAAAACUCUAUCAGCAGGGGAGAAAAUGACGGUACCUGAUUCAGAAGCCCCGGCUAACUACGUGCCAGCAGCCGCGGUAAUACGUAGGGGGCAAGCGUUAUCCGGAUUUACUGGGUGUAAAGGGAGCGUAGACGGGAGCACAAGUCUGGAGUGAAAUGCCGGGGCUUAACCCUGGAACUGCUUUGGAAACUGUGCAGCUAGAGUGCAGGAGAGGUAAGUGGAAUUCGUAGUGUAGCGGUGAAAUGCGUAGAUAUUAGGAGGAACACCAGUUGCGAAGGCGGCUUACUGGACUGUAACUGACGUUGAGGCUCGAAAGCGUGGGGAGCAAACAGGAUUAGAUACCCGAGUAGUC